UUCUCCAGGGCUUUCUGUAACACUCAUUACUCAAGAAGCUGGGUUUUUCAGAGUUAGCAACUGUGUUUUUGUAGCAACGUGGCUAGAUGAACCAGCUCUGGAAAUGUUGAACAGCUACAGAGGUUGAGAUGGAAAUGUCUGUGAUUCUGAGCGGCUGGUGAGAUGUGGAUAGUACCAAUCUCUCUUUGCAUCAUGGAGUUAACCAUUUUCUUCUGCUCUACUAAGACCCAGCAGGAGGACCAAUGAAAACAUGUAGAAAUCUGCCUCUCAGGGAGAAGAAUGUGAUGCCAGGACUUGUCCUAUUGAAGUUGGCAGGAGUGUGGCUUGAGUUUCGUGUGGUAGUGUGAGAAGAGACACAGCAGAUGGCAGUGCAUGACAUCAAUUAUCUCUGCUGCACUCCUGUUCCCAGCGGUAAUUGUCCAGAGCCGGUGAGAUUACACCGGAGGGCACCCCCCACUCCCUGGCUCCAUGUGGAGGAAAGGAAGACACCUCUGUGAACCAGUGCACUCUGAGGCAUCACUUUUGCUUCAUGGAUCAAGACUGCUGAAUCAGCAAACCCCCCCGCCCCCCACAUUUAAGCAGCUUUAUCACUGGCAGGAGACUCCAAAGGCCUCCUAUGUACAGACAGAUUGCAGCUUUCAGCAGAAGCCAGUCCCAGGGUGUUUUCUGUUUUCACCCAUCUUUCACAACGUGAUUCAUGUUCUUAACUGCUUUGCUGCUUCAAAAUCUAGUCAAUUUGCAUGUCAAAUUAAUUUUUCUUCAUUUAUCCUCAUAGUUCUGUUUUUGGGUGAAUGUUAGAGUGCUCGUUUUUGGUGCUUUCUGGUCUUUGAACUAUAUCUGGCACAGAAAUAAUGAUGGCAUUAAACAAAAAUUCCCUUACCAUGUUGUGAUGUGUUUCAUCAAUUUGAUCUGGUGCAAGGGACCAUCUGAAAUAGGAGAAAAGGGAAAAUGAAGGGGAAAGGGAGGAAACAGGAUUUUCUUGAAUGCUAACACAGGACUGCUUUGAUAACAAUGACUGAGAAAACAAGAAAGAAAGUCUGCAAAUUAGAGAGUUUUAAGUAAAAAACAUUGUUUUUAACCAAAAUAUUUAAUUAUGGAGCUUUUAGGGAGAGCCCAGUGGAGUGCCACUAAGAUGAUGGAGGAAUUGGAUCACCUCUCCUGUGAGAAGAGACUGAGAGAGCUGGGACUGUUCAGCCUGGAGGGGACUGAAAUAUCACCGAUGUAUACAAAUACCUAAAGGGAGGGUACCAAGAGGAUGGAGCCAGACUCUUUUCAGUGGUGCCCAGAGGCAAUGGGCCAGGCAAUGGGCACAAAUUGAAACAUGGGAAAUUCCCUCAGAACAUCAGGAAACAACUUUUCAGUGUGAGGGUGACUGAGCACUGGUACAAGUUGAGGAGUCUCCACCCCUGGAGAUCUUCAAAAGCUGUCUGGACACAGUCCUGGGUAACCAGCCCUAGGUGGCCCUGCUUGAGCAGGGUGGUUGGACCAGAUAACUUCCUGAGGUCCCUUCUAACUCAACCAUUUUGUGAUGCUGUGAACCCAAAGAGAUGCCAAUUCCUGAACUGUACUCUCCUGCACAAUUCUGGUAAUUUCCAAUGUCUCAUUGAAAACUGCUUGGAGCAUUAUUAGAUAAAAAGUAUACCUGAAGCUGCAAUUGGAAAACUAGUCUUAGACAAUGUCCAAACAUUGUCUCAAUAUUCAAAUUCCGAGGGAUUUCCUGAAUCUGCUAAUUUACUAUCCUAGUGCUACUUUCCAAAGCACCUCAGCAAAUAUGCCAUGUGCUAUUUUUUUCAGAAUGACAUAUUUGAAAUGGAUCAUGAAGUGACAGAAAUGCUGGGAUAGUACAAGAAGUUGUCUCUUCUGUUUAUUACCAAUUUUGCACAUGGGCAAGUAGCAGGUAACAUCAUCCUUGCAUCACCUGGAAUUCAAAUGAAGGAAUUAUCUUGUUAUCUUUGUUUUGAUUGAAUAUUCUCUCCCUUCAAAUAAAAGACAUUUUGUUGAUAUGGUAGUUCUAAUUACCAAAAAUAGAAAACUCUAAAAUAUGGAAACAAGUAUAAUUACCAAAUCUGUGAAAAAAAGAAUCUUU